rnacentral:sRNA from 1 species
GUCGUGAGAUGUUGGGUUAAGUCCCGCAACGAGCGCAACCCUUGUCCUGUGUUGCCAUCCCGCAAGGGGGGACUCGCAGGAGACCGCCAGCAAUAAGCUGGAGGAAGGUGGGGAUGACGUCAAGUCCUCAUGGCCUUUAUGUCCAGGGCUACACACGUGCUACAAUGGCCGGUACAAAGCGCAGCUAAGCCGCGAGGUGGAGCCAAUCGCAAAAAACCGGUCUCAGUUCGGAUUGCAGGCUGCAACUCGCCUGCAUGAAGCUGGAAUCGCUAGUAAUGGCGUAUCAGAACGAUGCCGUGAAUACGUUCCUGGGCCUUGUACACACCGCCCGCCACAUCACGAAAGUGGGUUGUACUAGAAGUCUGCAGGCUGACCCGCAAGGGAGGCAGCGGCCCAAGGUAUGACUCAUGAUUGGGGUGAAGUCGUAACAAGGUAGCCGUAGGAGAACCUGCGGCUGGAUCACCUCCUUUCUAAGAGAGAACGUGGGUGGAGUCAGCACUUUCGGGUGUUGGCAGCCGUUCCACUCCAUAAACCUCUGUGAGCUCUUCGGAGCAAGCAGAGAGUCUCGUUCGGAUCUCCACUUGAAGUUCUGCAGUUUCGCUUGAGAUCUGGUGGCAGUGCUGCCAGGUCGUUGCGUCCAACCGGCCUCGGAAGAUUAAGCGGGGCUGUAGCUCAGCUGGGAGAGCGCCUGAUUUGCAUUCAGGAGGUCGCCGGUUCGAUCCCGACCAGCUCCACCAGGGUUGAAGAAGGGAGUCGGACCAAUCGAGUUACGACCCAGGAGAUUGGGCCUGUAGCUCAGUUGGCUAGAGCGCACCCCUGAUAAGGGUGAGGUCGGUAGUUCGAUUCUACCCAGGCCCACCAGCCGAUCGCGAGCGAUCGGCUGCCAUGCGGGCAUGGCGGGAGUCAGAAGUCAGGAGACAGGAGUCAGAAUGGCUUAGCUUCUGGCAAGUGACUACCGCGGGAAGAGAUUGGAAGUGAGCGGCUAGGAUUGGGGAUUCUGACUCCUGGCUUCUGACUCCUGACUUCUUUUUCAGGAACCCUGACUUUUUCAGGAAUCGAUCUUUGACAACAGAAUAUUGACGGGCAUAAAUUACACAAGUAAGUAGUAGCGCAAGAAGCACUUUGUGUUUAGAGUAGAUUUUAUGGUCAAGCUACAAGGGCGUGUGUGUGGAUGCCUAGGCGCAAGGAGGCGAAGAAGGACGUGGUCAGCUACGAUAAGCUCCGGGAAGCCGCUAACAGGCUGUGAUCCGGAGAUUU